rnacentral:snRNA from 1 species
GGGUUCGCUUCAGCAGCACAUAUGCUAAAACUGGAACAGUACAGAGAAGAUUAGUAUGGCUCCUGUGCAAGAAUGACAGGCAAAUUCAUGAAGUGUUCCAUAUUAAA